GCCUCUGUCGCUCAGUUGGUUAGAGCGCUGCACCGGAAUCCAGGACCGCAGGUUCGAGUCCUGCCAGGGACC